rnacentral:lncRNA from 1 species
UUUUUUAUAUAAAAAUUGAAAUUUUUUUAAAAUUAAUUUUUAAUGAGAAUGCAUUUUUCGAUUUUUUUUACAGAACAAAAAUACUAAACUAUAAAAACUAAUAAAAAUAUUUAAACAUAAAUUAAUAAUCUUUCCUUUUCAAACUUUAUCCUCCCUUGCACAUUUUUAUCACCCCCAUUAGGGGGGUUUCAUGAAGGUAGUAUGUUUAUGCUUUUAACUAUUUUUCUUCCUAGUUUUAUUUUUGUUCACACACACAAUAUCAUUAGUGUCUCUCAUUUUAUAUAUGUAGUAACAUAUAGCUAGAUCUUUAGUUCAUCUAAAUUGUUGCAUCAAAACACCUCUUGGAGUUGUUCAAAUCAAUUAUAUAUUUUCUCCACUCCAAUUGCUUCAUUAUUAUUGUACAAUCUUUUUCUUAUAUAGGAUUUUGAAUGGUUCUAUUGUUAUGCUUGAAUUUUUCUAAUUUGUUUUAUAUUUUGAAA